UACGUAGGGGGGCUAGCGUUGUCCGGAAUCAUUGGGCGUAAAGCGCGUGUAGGCGGUCCGGUAAGUCCGCUGUGAAAGUCGGGGGCUCAACCCUCGAAUGCCGGUGGAAACUGUCGGGCUAGAGUACGGAAGAGGCGAGUGGAAUUCCUGGUGUAGCGGUGAAAUGCGCAGAUAUCAGGAGGAACACCAAUUGCGAAGGCAGCUCGCUGGGACGUUACUGACGCUGAGGAGCGAAAGCAUGGGGAGCGAACAGG
rnacentral:rRNA from 1 species